AUUGAACGCUGGCGGCAUGCUUUACACAUGCAAGUCGAACGGUAACAGGUUAAGCUGACGAGUGGCGAACGGGUGAGUAAUGCAUCGGAACGUGCCCGAUCGUGGGGGAUAACGCAGCGAAAGCUGCGCUAAUACCGCAUACGAUCUGAGGAUGAAAGCGGGGGACCGUAAGGCCUCGCGCGAUCGGAGCGGCCGAUGUCAGAUUAGGUAGUUGGUGGGGUAAAGGCUCACCAAGCCGACGAUCUGUAGCUGGUCUGAGAGGACGACCAGCCACACUGGGACUGAGACACGGCCCAGACUCCUACGGGAGGCAGCAGUGGGGAAUUUUGGACAAUGGGCGAAAGCCUGAUCCAGCAAUGCCGCGUGCAGGAAGAAGGCCUUCGGGUUGUAAACUGCUUUUGUGCGGAGCGAAAAGGCUCUCUCUAAUACAGGGGGCUCAUGACGGUACCGUAAGAAUAAGCACCGGCUAACUACGUGCCAGCAGCCGCCGUAA
rnacentral:rRNA from 1 species